UACGGGGGGGGGCAAGCGUUGUUCGGAAUUACUGGGCGUAACGGGUUCGUAGGUGGCUCGCUAAGCCAGACGUGAAAUCCCUCAGCUUAACUGGGGAACUGCGUCUGGGACUGGCGAGCUCGAGUGCGGGAGAGGAAUGCGGAAUUCCAGGUGUAGCGGUGAAAUGCGUAGAUAUCUGGAGGAACACCGGUGGCGAAGGCGGCAUUCUGGACUGCAACUGACACUGAGGAACGAAAGCCAGGGGAGCAAACGGG
rnacentral:rRNA from 1 species